CAAUAUCCGGAUCGACUAAAAUGCAGUCGAGAGUCUUCGGGACUCGACGAACUGCUCAGUAAUAUGUAGUUAACCUGCCCUAGACUCAGGGAUAAUGUCGGGAAACUGACGCUAAUACCUGAUAGGCAUCCUGGUCUGGAAUGAUAGGAUGCUCAAAGCCCCGGCGGUCUAGGAUGGGACUAUAUCUUAUCAGCCUGUUGGGGGUGUAACGGACCCCCAAAGCUAUAACGGGUACGGGCCAUGAGAGUGGAAGCCCGGAGAUGGAUUCUGAGACAUGAAUCCAGGUCCUACGGGACGCAGCAGUUGCGAAACCUUUACAAUGUGUUAGCGCACGAUAAGGGAAUCCGAAGUGCUGCAGCUAUGCUGCAGCUUUUGCCAAGUCCAAACAGCUUGGCGAAUAAGGGGUGGGUAAGACAGGUGCCAGCCGCCGCGGUAAUACCUGCGCCCCGAGUAGUAUCCGGUAUUAGUUGGCCUAAAGCGUCCGUAGCUGGUCCUGUAAGUUCCUAGUGAAAUUCACUGGUAGACUGGUGAGCGUGCUGGGAAUACUGCGGGACUUGGGACCGGGAGAGGGUAGAGGUACUCCUGGGGAAGGGGUAAAAUCCUAUAAUCCUAGGGGGACCACCUGUGGCGAAGGCGUCUACCUAGAACGGAUCCGACAGUGAGGGACGAAAGCUAGGGUAGCGAUCGGGAUUAGAUACCCCGGUAGUCCUAGCCGUAAACGAUGCCCACUUGGUGUUAAAAACCUUACGAGGGUUUUUUGUGCCGUAGCGUAGGUGUUAAGUGGGCCGCCUGGGGAGUACGACCGCAAGGUUGAAACUUAAGGGAAUUGGCGGGGGACCACACAAGGAGUGAAGACUGCGGUUCAAUUGGAGUCAACGCCGGG
rnacentral:rRNA from 1 species